rnacentral:sRNA from 1 species
AAGUCCUGGCCAAGCGCCUCCCUACUCAGGCCACCGAGCAUGUCCCCCCAGCUGAUCCCCUGCCCCACAGGAGCUGCUGUGAACUUGACCCUCGUCACCCCCGAGAAGGCCAUCAAGCUGGCAGCCAACGACUUCUUCCGACAUCAGCUCUCUAAGGACGGGCAGAAGCUGACCCUGCUUAAAGAGAUGCUGGCGGGCUGUGGGGCUGGCACCUGCCAGGUGAUUGUGACCACACCCAUGGAGAUGCUGAAGAUCCAGCUGCAGGAUGCAGGGCGCAUUGCCGCCCAGAGGAAGAUCCUGGCUGCCCAGGGCCAGCUCUCGGCCCAGGGGGGUGCCCAGCCCUCAGUGGAGGCUCCAGCUGCCCCUCGGCCCACGGCCAUCCAGCUGACCCGCGACCUGCUGCGGAGCCGCGGCAUUGCCGGUCUCUACAAGGGACUCGGGGCCACGCUGCUCAGGGAUGUCCCCUUCUCUGUGGUGUACUUCCCGCUCUUUGCCAACCUGAACCAGCUGGGCCGCCCGGCGUCCGAGGAGAAGUCACCUUUCUACGUGUCC